rnacentral:tmRNA from 1 species
GGGGGUGACUGGUUUCGACUGGGGAUGGUAGUUCCAGAAGAAGCGGGUCGAGAAUCCAAGGUCAACUCGUAAAUGUCCCUUGGGAACCAAUAAGUGCCAACGCAAAGAGCACUGACUUCGCUCUCGCUGCCUGAGCAGUGACCGAAGGGUCAGCCCGGAUGUAGCCUUCCGUCCGGAUCCUGGCCUCAUUUAGAGGGCUUGCUCAUCAGCUCCAGCUUGGAGGGCUGAUGGGGACUUAAACCAGGCUGGGCUUGUCUGCAACAUGCUGACGUGAGUGCAGGAGCCAAGCAGAACGUCUAGUCAGCUGCACCCGGAGAAUGUCUGCAACGCCUCAUCAGGACGCGGGUUCAAUUCCCGCCACCUCCACGA